rnacentral:sRNA from 21 species
UGUAUCUGAAGCCUGACGAGGAUGAGAACCUCCGGGGGCAAGAGGUUCGACCCGAGCGCAGCGAGAGAACGUUGCUUCAGCAACGGCCCGCAGGGCGAGCCACGCAGUGGCGAGUCAUCCUCUAUCACCGACCA